UACGGAAGGUGCGAGCGUUAAUCGGAAUUACUGGGCGUAAAGCGCGCGUAGGCGGUUUGUUAAGUCAGCUGUGAAAGCCCCGGGCUCAACCUGGGAACUGCAGUUGAUACUGUCCGACUAGAGUACGAGAGAGGGAGGUAGAAUUCCAUGUGUAGCGGUGAAAUGCGUAGAUAUAUGGAGGAAUACCAGUGGCGAAGGCGACUUCCUGGCCUGUUCUUGACGCUGAGGCGCGAAAGCUAGGGGAGCAAACGGG
rnacentral:rRNA from 1 species